rnacentral:rRNA from 1 species
CCUACGGGAGGCAGCAGUGAGGAAUAUUGGUCAAUGGACGAGAGUCUGAACCAGCCAAGUAGCGUGAAGGAUGACUGCCCUAUGGGUUGUAAACUUCUUUUAUAUGGGAAUAAAACGUUCCACGUGUGGGAUUUUGUAUGUACCAUAUGAAUAAGGAUCGGCUAACUCCGUGCCAGCAGCCGCGGUAAUACGGAGGAUCCGAGCGUUAUCCGGAUUUAUUGGGUUUAAAGGGAGCGUAGGUGGAUUGUUAAGUCAGUUGUGAAAGUUUGUGGCUCAACCGUAAAAUUGCAGUUGAAACUGGCAGUCUUGAGUACAGUAGAGGUGGGCGGAAUUCGUGGUGUAGCGGUGAAAUGCUUAGAUAUCACGAAGAACUCCGAUUGCGAAGGCAGUUCACUGGACUGCAACUGACACUGAGGCUUGAAAGUGUGGGUAUCAAACAGGAUUAGAUACCCUAGUAGUC